rnacentral:rRNA from 1 species
AACGAACGCUGGCGGCAUGCCUAACACAUGCAAGUCGAACGAGACCUUCGGGUCUAGUGGCGCACGGGUGCGUAACGCGUGGGAACCUGCCCUUAGGUUCGGAAUAACUCCCCGAAAGGGGUGCUAAUACCGGAUAAUGUCUUCGGACCAAAGAUUUAUCGCUUUUGGAUGGGCCCGCGUUGGAUUAGCUAGUUGGUAGGGUAAAAGCCUACCAAGGCGACGAUCCAUAGCUGGUCUGAGAGGAUGAUCAGCCACACUGGGACUGAGACACGGCCCAGACUCCUACGGGAGGCAGCAGUGGAGAAUAUUGGACGAUGGGCGAAAGCCUGAUCCAGCAAUGCCGCGUGAGUGAUGAAGGCCUUAGGGUUGUAAAGCUCUUUUACCCGGGAUGAUAAUGACAGUACCGGGAGAAUAAGCUCCGGCUAACUCCGUG